rnacentral:lncRNA from 1 species
ACAGAAAGUUUUUCAAUAGUAGAAUCGUUUAUUUUUCAGGAAUACUUACUUCUACCAGAAUCGGUGUUUAUUCGAUCAGAUACAUGAUCACAGCAAUAACAUUUCUUGCUGAAUGAUAAUUUUAUUUCGUGUCUUGAAGUUGGGUGCUACUAGUUUUCCAGUUACACCAUAUCGAGCCAAAGUUGUGAGUUGGUUGGUUGGUAGUCCAACAUGAGAGAGUUGAGGAAGACUCCCUGCCCAAUUUUGCUCAUCUGAUCGAUUUUUGCCUCCUGUUAGGUACCUCCUAGAUACCUAGGAGGAUUUGCCUCCUAGAUACCUAGCCAGUUAGGUUGUAUGCGAUAUAUAACAGAGAAUGAAUAUUGCUCUCAAAAAUUGUUCGCCAUAAAAUAUUAUGGGUGAACUUCAGAGUAUUAGCUUUUGCAGUGAGUAGAACUGAAAAAAAUCAACUCAGAUCAGCAACCUUUUCUAUAGUUUUUUUUUGUCUAUAUUUCUAUCAACCUCGUCUACCACACCUCUCAACCCCUCUUUCUCUAUCUAUCCAUUGAUGGAUCCCGGUCGUGUGUUAAUGGGAAGGAUAUUAUUCCAUAUCAUUUUUAGAGAAAGGACAAUUAUUUGUCGAAACACCGCGAUUUAUGAAGAUACGGUACAUCGCAAUGUUAUCGUUAUUCAAAUUGCAUUCAAUCUCUAUUCUCCUUAAUUAACUCUUCAUAUCUUGUAAAAUUCGUUUAAAAUAAGCAGUAUUGUCAUUCAACGUAAAUUAGUGUAUAAGCCAGCAGUAUAAUAACAUAACAUACAUAAAUAAAGAACUCUAAUCUAAUCUAAUCUAAUCCAUGAUCCAUCAUCUUUACACUCUAUGCUCUCUCUCUUCUCUAUUCAACUGCAUAUGCUUUCUAUUACUAUGUUAUAUUUUCCAGUACGUUAGGCUAUAUAGUUUGAGUCUCUCCACUUACUACCUGCUCCACAGUUUCGAAUAAUAGUCCCUUCUUUUGUAAUAGUGUAGGUCUGUCACCAUUGUCCACUGGUCUACCCUCUCUUUCGCAACUCACUCCUUCUCAGUCGGAGUAUUUCGCGCCCUUUUUGGUUGGGUUUGCCUUUUGGUUAGUUGUAGCGCGGAAUAAGCAUACCAGUAGUGGGGUGUAGUGCUUCUUUCCUCUGUGGUUGUAGUCACUAAACUGUCACUAGUCAGUCGCAAUGAGCAGUUAGUUUCAGUUCAUCAUGUAUUGAAUACAUAUUACAGUUCAUGUUUCCAGUGUUUUAUCCGGGAAUUUAUUUGUUUUGAAGUCACUUGAUCUUCUAUUAUCAAUGUAAGUACACAAUAAUAUUACUAUAUUUAUGGAAGUUUGAAUCAUAGACUGAUAAAAGUAUAUCUACUAUAGAGUAGCUUGGAGAAAAUACACAUUAUUAUUAUAUAUUAUAGAUGUAGCUUGUGUUCUGUCUUUUCUACCUAUAUUAGGGUGGGUUCAGUUAAUUCAUUUUGGUUGACUAGUUGAAUUCUACCUGACCUGAUAGAUAGGCUGUAAUGAGCUAGAGGACUGAACAAGCUUAUAUUUUUUACCGGUCAUCAUACGAUAGCCCACAAAUUUGGGUUAUAUAUCUAGUCUCUUAUUUCAAUCGGUAUAAGAGUAUCAGAGCCUAUGAUUUUUGUCAAAUCUUCAGCGUUCCAAAAUCUUUUCAAAUCACUAGCUAUUAUUUUUUUCGUAUUCAAUUUUGAAUCCAAACCCCUACUUCAAACUAUAAAUUCCACUAAAUGAAACAGAACUAAGCACUUAGAACAAAAAUGAUUUACAUACAUAAUUUGCUUUCUAAGUUAUUUAAUAGAGUUUUUUGGAAAUUGUAAAAAACAAAGGUUACAUUAUGAAUUCAUAUAUACUUGAUCCCUUUGAGAAUACUUUAAUUUUGAUUUUAUCAUCCAACUAAAAUAUAUUGUUUUUUCAUUGUUCAAAGGAGACGUAUGUCGCGCCAUGCGCCGAUAAAGCUUCGGAAGGGCGCACAAUCACGAGUAUCAUGGGGAAGCUGGUGACCCUUCGUUGCCAUAUACUUUUCGUGGAAAAGAGUUCAACGCAAGGACGACCAUAAGAUAGAGAAAAAACCAUUCAAGGACCUUCUCAUAACUAAAGUUAUGAUUGCAGCUGCUACAAACCGGUGAUGGCCAAAGGCAGAAUUGGAGCAGGUCCAGUUGAAAGCGGCUACGUGGCUUGCACAAACCCAAUCCAAGUUGGACAAAAUGAAUCAGCCAUCAACACCAGCUACAAUAACAAUAAUCGACAUCGAUUGUGAAGAUGAACCUCUCGAAUAGAUAAAAUAUAAUAGUAGUGACAGAAAAGAUCAUAAAACGUGUCUACAUGUUCAAUUUACUGAUAUCAUAAACAAUAAAUUAGUAAUUGAUUAUAA